AUCUCUUCUGAUGUGGGGAUGGAGUUCUUCUUGGGGCGACCUUUGGGUUUUGUGGGUGCUUCCUGUCCACCUUUAAGAACCUACGGUGACAGUGAGGGUGACCAACAGAUAAUGUGUAUGAAAGGACCAAAACGGCACCUGAAUGCUAACACACAGAUAUUAAGGGGACCUUUAACGAGGUAGAGAUGCUGACAGAAACCAACCCUGGGGAGAAGACGUUCCCUGUAUUUCUUUUCAACUUUAUAGGGCAGCGAGGGCCACAUAACUGAUGACUGUUUCCAUGAAGCUGAGAAACAAGUUUGGAUUCCCCAGCAUGAAUCUCCUCCCAGACACUGCUGCUCCCAUUAGCUGACUUUCUCAGCCUGAAGAUGUGAUGUUCCACUGGACCUCAGGCAAGGCCCCAAAUGCCAAGGCGCUGACUUGGAGAUGACUGGGGAGCAGGGACUGAGAAAGGACAAAUGCUCAGGGCUGUGCGGAGUCCCUGAAACUCAUAGAAUUCACUUUUGGCUUAUGUAUCCUGGCCUCCAAAUAUUUGGAUUCUCUGAAGACAUGGAUUUUGUGGCUAGAUAGCCUUGAAAGAGUUUUACUGGGAAACUAGAUGAAGCAAUCAGGAUCACAACACAGCCUUGCUAUUCCACUCCGCGCUGAUCCUAUAAAUCUCCCUGCUGCUGCCCUGACCGCUCCGUGAAAUAAUAAUACCAGUUUGCAG